rnacentral:rRNA from 1 species
UCCGUCCUACGGGAGGCAGCAGUGAGGAAUAUUGGUCAAUGGGCGGGAGCCUGAACCAGCCAAGUCGCGUGAGGGAAGACGGUCCUAUGGAUUGUAAACCUCUUUAGGCGGGGAGCAAUGCCGGGCACGCGUGCCCGGAGGGAGAGUACCCGCAGAAUAAGCAUCGGCUAACUCCGUGCCAGCAGCCGCGGUAAUACGGAGGAUGCGAGCGUUAUCCGGAUUUAUUGGGUUUAAAGGGUGCGGAGACGGAUUUUUCAGGCAGCGGUAAAAUGUCCGGGCUCAACCCGGGCCGGCCGUUGAAACUG